GAUGAACGCUGGCGGCGUGCCUAAUACAUGCAAGUCGAGCGAACGGACGAGAAGCUUGCUUUUCUGAUGUUAGCGGCGGACGGGUGAGUAACACGUGGAUAACCUACCUAUAAGACUGGGAUAACUUCGGGAAACCGGAGCUAAUACCGGAUAAUAUUUUGAACCGCAUGGUUCAAAAGUGAAAGACGGUCUUGCUGUCACUUAUAGAUGGCUCCGCGCUACAUUAGCUAGUUGGUAAGGUAACGGCUUACCAAGGCAACGAUGCAUAGCCGACCUGAGAGGGUGAUCGCCCACACUGGAACUGAGACACGGUCCAGACUCCUACGGGAGGCAGCAGUAGGGAAUCUUCCGCAAUAGGCGAAAGCCUGACGGAGCAACGCCGCGUGAGUGAUGAAGGUCUUCGGAUCGUAAAACUCUGUUAUUAGGGAAGAACAUAUGUGUAAGUAACUGUGCACAUCUUGACGGUACCUAAUCAGAAAGCCACGGCUAACUACGUG
rnacentral:rRNA from 1 species